CUGCCCCUAGCUCAGCUGGAUAGAGCGUCGGUUUGCGGAACCGGAGGUCAGGGGUUCGAAUCCCUUGGGGCAGGCCA
rnacentral:tRNA from 1 species